rnacentral:rRNA from 1 species
GAUGAACGCUGGCGGCGUGCUUAACACAUGCAAGUCGAACGAUGAACCUCACUUGUGGGGGGAUUAGUGGCGAACGGGUGAGUAACACGUGAGUAACCUGCCCUUGACUCUGGGAUAAGCCUGGGAAACUGGGUCUAAUACCGGAUAUGACCUUCCAUCGCAUGGUGGUUGGUGGAAAGCUUUUGCGGUUUUGGAUGGACUCGCGGCCUAUCAGCUUGUUGGUGGGGUAAUGGCCUACCAAGGCGACGACGGGUAGCCGGCCUGAGAGGGUGACCGGCCACACUGGGACUGAGACACGGCCCAGACUCCUACGGGAGGCUG